rnacentral:rRNA from 1 species
UACGUAGGGUGCGAGCGUUGUCCGGAAUUAUUGGGCGUAAAGAGCUCGUAGGCGGUCUGUCGCGUCGGAUGUGAAAUCCCGGGGCUUAACCCCGGGCCUGCAUUCGAUACGGGCAGACUAGAGUUCGGUAGGGGAGACUGGAAUUCCUGGUGUAGCGGUGAAAUGCGCAGAUAUCAGGAGGAACACCGGUGGCGAAGGCGGGUCUCUGGGCCGAUACUGACGCUGAGGAGCGAAAGCGUGGGGAGCAAACAGG